rnacentral:rRNA from 1 species
GUAGGUGGCAAGCGUUGUCCGGAAUUAUUGGGCGUAAAGCGCGCGCAGGCGGUUCUUUAAGUCUGAUGUGAAAGCCCACGGCUCAACCGUGGAGGGUCAUUGGAAACUGGAGAACUUGAGUACAGAAGAGGAAAGCGGAAUUCCACGUGUAGCGGUGAAAUGCGUAGAGAUGUGGAGGAACACCAGUGGCGAAGGCGGCUUUCUGGUCUGUAACUGACGCUGAGGCGCGAAAGCGUGGGGUAGCAAACAGGGAUUAGAUACCCUGGUAGUCCACGCCGUAAACGAUGAGUGCUAAGUGUUAGGGGGUUUACCGCCCCCUUAGUGCUGCAGCUAACGCAUUAAGCACUCCGCCUGGGGAGUACGGCCGCAAGGCUG